UGUUACGACGCGUUGCAGUUGCACUGGAAUAUCAAUUUUAAUAAUAUUAAGUUGUUUCGCGUUGUUAAAGUGUUUCGCAAUAUGAUAAUACGAGUUAUUAAGUGAUCGCGGUGUUGUGUUUUACGCAAACAUAUAAAAUAUAUGUUAGGCUAGCCAGUUAAAUGCAAAAAUGCAAAUGGCGUUCCGCGUGGUGGUGAAAAUGUAUGCAAAAAUACAAAAUGUAAUAAAACAUUGUUAUUUCGCGUUGUUUAAGUGUUCGCAAUAUGUUAAUAUAAGUUAUUAAGUGAUCGUAGUGCUGUGUUUCACGCAAACACAUGGAAAAUAUGUUAAAAUUGCCAAUUAAAUGCAAAUAUGCAAAUGAUGCUCCGCGGGGGGAGUGAAAAUGCAUGCACAUAUGUAUGAAUGUAAGAAUGUAUAUAUGUAUGUACAUACAGCGUGGUGGCGUGGAAGUUCAGCAUCUUGUGAUAAUCGGAUGAAAUUUCUCGCCAGGAUUUCGGUCCUUUAAAGUGUUAUUAAAUCGGUAACUUUUUUUUUGUUUUUUAAGUGAUGUUGCAAUGUAAGAAAAAGUGUCUAAUAAUAUUUACACACAUACAUAAAUGGCCGAAGAAAUUAUUAACGCCAUAAGAAAUCUUAAGUAAUUUGAAAACGCAAGCUAAAUGGCACAUUAAGCAUGGCACAUAAAGCUAAAGCAUUUCUACGAAAAUCUGCGGUCAUAACUUUGCACUUCGAAAUGCCAGUGUUACCAUUCAAGUGGCAGUUAAAAUGGCUUCAGCCUCAAUUGCUGGCAUCCUGGUUGGCGUUUCGCCGGCUGCAUCCACCAUUUUACCAUUCCACCAAUUUACCGCCCUAGCAAUUCGCCAACAGGACCUGCAUCCAACAUUCUACGGCCAACAUUCUACAUAUAACAUUCAACAUCCAGCGACCCGCUGCAUUAGGAAAGUUGACGCUGUUGAUGCUGUGAGCGAUUUAUUGUUUUUGUGUAGAAAGCGUAAAAUGGAACAAAUUUCCUCAUAACCCCCUCCUUGAAGCCCGCUCACACACAAACACACACAUACAAUACAUACAGGCAUACACGCACACAUAGUCACACACUUACACGCACAGCAGUGAUGCCGGCGACCCAUUUCAAAAACAGGACAAAUCGAACUAAAAACAAGACAGAACGCUAUUGUCAAGUACUCGACUAUUGGAUACCCGUUAGUCAGAUUAUGUAGCGCCACGAAGAUUGAGUUUCAGAUUGAGAGCUACAUGUAGCGAAGUGUGUGAUGUAGUAAGCGAAAAUCGAAUGAUGCAUCAAUAUACAUUUAAUAUACUCUUCAACGAAUUAAGUAUACCCAUUUGCGCCACAACUAACGGGUAUAAUAAAACGGCAUUAAAAGGACAAUAAAGACAAGCGGAUUUGGGU
rnacentral:lncRNA from 1 species